AAUCAUCAAGGAAACUCAGCGUCUCCUGAGUGAACCAGCCCCUGGGAUUAGUGCCUCGCCAUCAGAAGAUAACAUGCGAUAUUUUAACGUCAUGAUUCUUGGCCCGACUCAGUCACCCUAUGAAGGAGGAGUUUUCAAGUUGGAACUAUUUUUACCAGAAGAAUAUCCUAUGGCUGCUCCCAAGGUUCGAUUUCUCACAAAGAUUUAUCAUCCAAAUAUUGACAAGCUUGGAAGGAUA
rnacentral:misc_RNA from 1 species